UAAGGAAAGUGUGGGACAAAGGUAGUGGGUACAUGCUGGUAAGCAGGUUCACCCUGACAAAGGCUUAGUGGGUAGACUCACAGGUGGGAAUUUGGCAACAAAGAGAUAAUUUGGGAGACUUUGCAAUAGUUUAGGCAAGAAAUGGAAGAUGAAAUAAAUCUAGAUGGAUAGGUAACAAGAUCAGUUUUAGAUUUAGAUUGGGGUGUGUGUUGGGUUUCCAAGAAGAGACAAAUAGGCAUCAAGGGAAAGCUCUGGAUUAGAAUUGUAGCUUUGGGAUCUAUCAGUAUAUAACUGAUAGCCAUAUAUAUGGAUGAGAUCAUUUAGUGAGGGAAGAAAGGAUAGAAUAUUGGGAAACAACAUUUAAGGUGUAAUAGAUAAAAAGAACUCUAAGAUGAAAAAUAUAAGAAGGCAGGAAUGGAAGGUAAAGAGAAUAGAUUUAUGGAAGUGAAGGCGGAAAUAAGUAGUCAACAUGACAAUAUAUGAAGAUUUUUUCUUUUAAUAAACUUCUCUAUAUUACCAGAAUCUAGCAUAGAACCUGGCACUGAGUGGGUGUUAACAUAUAUCUUUGAAACUGAACUUACCAAGUACACUUUGUCAUCACUACAAUAUUAUUGGUCAGAGAAAAUCCUCAAUCACACAGAGGGGAGGACAGAAGGAGAAGGACUCUCCACUGAACACAGAACCCAACAUGGGCCUCACUCUCAUGACCCGGAGAUCAUGACCUGAGCUGAAAUCAAGAAUCAGAUGCUUAACCCACUGAACUCCAGGAACUCCAAUAAAUGACAUUAUAGACAAAGAAAUAACUCUGUGGGGAAGGAUGGAAGCAGGAAUGUUCAAGCAAUGCACUAUACUUGAAAUGUACAUUUUAUGUUGGGACUGAAGAGGAAAAUAAGGUUGAAAAAAUAAGAGGACCAGAUAGUAAAGGCCUGUAUUCAUUCAUGAGGGCUGUGGUAACAAAGUACCAGAGAUGAUGUGACUUAUAAAACAGAAAUGAAUUUUCUCACAUUUCUGAAGGCUAGAAGUCCAAGCACAAGGUAUUAACAGAUUUGGUUUCUUCUAAAGCCUUUUUCCUUGAUUUGCAGAUGGCCAUGUCUUCACAUGAUCUUUCCUCUGUGUGCAUCCAUUCCUGCUGACUAUUUCUUUGUUCAAGUUUUCUCUCCUUAUAAGGACACAAGUCAGGUUGCACUAGGGACCGCUCUAACAGCCUCACUAUAACUUAAUCACCUCUUUAAAGGUCCUACCUCCAAAUACACUCAUAUUCUGUAGUACGAAGUGUUAGGGACUCAACAUAUGAAUUUCAGAGGCAGCAGUUCAGUCCAUAGGAAAUUUACAUGCCAAGUUGAGAAGAAGGUUUCAAAGAGACAUUACUUAUGACCUGGGAUCUAGUUCUGACUGAGUCCCUUUCCAUUUGUCUUUCAGUGCUCUGUGAAACCUCUCUGGUCCUACAGGUAAUGGAGUUGAACUAGAAAAUCUCCAAGGUUUUCCUAACUAAAAUUCUAUAUUUUGGGGAAAUUCCUAAAAAUAUGAAAAUAGGUCAUAUACCCAUAAGUUAAUCAACAUCAUGAGUCAGCUUAUUUACAGUCAAUUAGACCAAGCAUAACCUCUAAAGCAGCACUUCCUAAACUCUUUUGAGAAUACUAAGAAGUAUCACUCAAAAGGUAUUCUGAGGUCAUAAAAAUCCAGAAAAUUUGCAAAAUUAUUUUGAUGGGAGGAUUUUGAGCUUUUAGGUAAACCAAGACAUUUUUUUGGAAGCUACAAAACCCCGGGGCAGGUGCAUUCUCCUUUUUUCCUAAUGGGACAUUAAUAUCUUUCACGCUUACCUCUCAAUUUGUACAACAUUUAUAAGGAAUAAAAUCAAAGUUGUUAUAUUGAAAUAGUUAAGUGUGUUAUCUGCAGCCUUGUUGUUUGUAUUCUUUUAUAAAAAUAAUUUUUCAGAGAACAUUUUAAACAAUUUGAGGAGUGGUCACUAAAAUACAUUUUAAAAAAUAUUUCAGAU
rnacentral:lncRNA from 1 species